UACGUAGGGGGCAAGCGCUGUCCGGAUUUAUUGGGCGUAAAGAGCGUGUAGGCGGUUAUACAGGUCCGCUGUGAAAACUGGAGGCUUAACCUCCAGACGUCGGUGGAAACCGUAUGACUAGAGUCCGGAAGAGGAGAGUGGAAUUCCUGGUGUAGCGGUGAAAUGCGCAGAUAUCAGGAAGAACACCCGUGGCGAAGGCGGCUCUCUGGGACGGUACUGACGCUGAGACGCGAAAGCGUGGGGAGCGAACAGG
rnacentral:rRNA from 1 species